rnacentral:rRNA from 1 species
ACAAUGGAGAGUUUGAUCCUGGCUCAGGACGAACGCUGGCGGCGGGCCUAACACAUGCAAGUCAAAGGAGAAUUUCGGAGCAAUCUGAAAGGACACUGGCGCACGGGUGAGUAACGCGUAGGUAACCUACCUUCUGCUGGGGGAUAACACCGGGAAACCGGUGCUAAUACCGCAUAAAGCAACAGUCACGCAUGUGGCAGUUGUUAAAGAAUUUCGGC